rnacentral:misc_RNA from 1 species
GGGGAAGAGAUCAUUCACCGUGAAGUUGAGAUUAUGCAGCAUCUCUCUGGGCAUCCAGGUGUUGUGACACUGAAGGCUGUGUAUGAGGAUGCUGAAUCUUUUUAUCUUGUCAUGGAACUUUGCUCAGGAGGAAGGUUGCUUGACCAAAUGGCUAGGGUUGGGCGAUACCCUGAGCAACAAGCUGCUAAUGUGAUCAAAGAGCUCAUGCUGGUUAUCAGAUACUGCCAUGAGAUGGGUGUUGUGCACAGGGACAUAAAGCCUGAAAAUGUCCUCCUUACAACCUCUGGACAAGUUAAGGUUUCAGACUUUGGGCUAGCUGUGAGAAUUUCACAUGGUCAGAGCUUGACUGGAGUAGUUGGAAGUCCAGCUUAUGUUGCUCCUGAGGUUCUGCUAGGUGAU